UAAAGUUCCAUUAUAUAUAUAUAUAUAUUAUUUAUUUAUAUUUUUUUAAUCGUGGAUUGUCCUAAUAUUUGAAAAUUUUGUACGUGUAUUAGCUGACGAAGCAAGGAUUGGAUUAAAGAACACCAAAAGCGAAGGCUUUCUGGGUCCCUACAGACGUUGAGGUGCAAAAAAGCAUGGAAAGCGAAUAGGAUCAGAUAUCCUAAUAGUUCAUGUCGUAAACGAUGAGCGUUUACCCUUGGUCUAUGUGGAUCAAGGGCCAGCUAACGCGUGAAACACUCCGCU
rnacentral:rRNA from 1 species